GGUGAAACUCUGUGGGCUGUUAUG
rnacentral:siRNA from 1 species